ensembl:snRNA U2 U2 spliceosomal RNA
AAAACUUUUUCGAAAGAAAAAAUCUGUUCUUAUCAGUUUAAUAUCUGAUACGUCCCCCAUCCGGGGACUACAUAUUAAAUGGAUUUUUAGAUCACGGAGCUGGAGCCGGGGCUUGCUCCGUCCACUCCAUGCAUCGGCCUGGUAUUGCAGUGUCUCCAGGAACGGUGUGCUUUCC